rnacentral:tRNA from 1 species
GGUGGGUUGACUAAGUGGUAAGAGCUUAAGUCUCGUAAUCGAAAGGUCACGGGAUCGAAUCCCGCUAGAGGCUG